AAGCCUGACGGAGCAAUGCCGCGUGAGUGAAGAAGGCCUUCGGGUUGUAAAACUCUGUCCUAAAGGAAGAAAGGUAUAUGUAUAAAUAAUGCAUAUAACUGACGGUACUUUAGGAGGAAGCCCCGGCUAACUACGUGCCAGCAGCCGCGGUAACACGUAGGGGGCGAGCGUUGUCCGGAAUCACUGGGCGUAAAGCGCGCGCAGGCGGACAUUUAAGUCAGAUGUGAAACCUCUGGGCUUAACCUAGAGCUUGCAUCUGAUAGUGGAGGUCUUGAGGACAGGAGAGGGGAGUGGAAUUCCUAGUGUAGCGGUGAAAUGCGUAGAUAUUAGGAGGAACACCAGUGGCGAAGGCGACUCUCUGGCCUGUAACUGACGCUGAGGCGCGAAAGCGUGGGUAGCAAACA
rnacentral:rRNA from 1 species